UCUUAUUAUUAUUAUUUUAUAUAUAUCAUUAUUAAUGUGCAUUUUCAGUGCUGCUAGGUAAUUUCAUUCACAGUAAAUUCAUUACCGGACAUUUCAUUCCCUCUUUGAAGAGGGAUAGUUAGUGACAUCAUACGGUUAAUGUUUCUACAAUAUUUAGUAGUUUUCGUGUAGGGCUGUAGAGGGAGGGAUCGACAAUGGGCAGUCGGCACUGGAGAGAAGGGAUGACUAGUGAUGGAUGGGAGACGGAUAUGAAUGAGUUAUGGUGUUUAUGGAUUACAAAUGACGUCAUGAAAAAUCUUUAAUAGUGAGUGGGAUGGAAUCCCGAUCCGUGGAUAUUAUUUAUACCUUGGGGAAUAGAAGGGAAUCCCAUAAUUACUCUUCUUCUUGUUCCAUCUCCCAUCCAUCAUUAUUGGGUAGUUACUUGUGAGUAAAAACCAAGUAGCAAAACGACAACCAUGAGAUCAACUUUUUUCUAAAUUUUGAUGGAUACCCGAAAGUUUUUUGUGCUACAAGGUGCUGAGAGUGACAUGAAUUACUCAAUUACUAAUCAAUAAACGUCCUUAAAAUCACCCUAUUUUUAAUUAAAUUUAGAAGGUAAAUUCUGGAAAAAAAAAGAAAUAAUUAGGAAAAAUUAUAUGAUUCAGUGAUAUCACCAGUCAUACUGUAAAAGAGACAUCUUACAAUGAAAAGAAAUAGAAGUAAAUUGGAUGAACGGAAAUUAUUAAUCAAUGAGUGGCUGAAUGGAUUUUUUUCUGAAAAGAAAGGAUGAACAGAAAAUGCGUGAACCUAUAUAUAUAUGGCCAAAAUAUCUAUAUGAACCUAACGUUGGAUUGCAGUGACAGGAUUUAACACUCAUCAUACCUAGUGUACCUAUUAUUUAAGAAAACAGGGCGGUAAACAAAACAAAAAACAGACACAGUGUAAAACAAUCUUGGCAUUAGUGGUAUAUGUAUGAAUGAUUUUUAGCAUUAAGGUUAGACAUUUCUUUUAAGCCCGUCUCCAGCUUAAACAUCUUAAUCCGUUGCUGUAAAGCUUAGCUAAACACUCAAUUGAAACUUCUUCACGGCACUGUGUUUGCUCGAGUGUGAGCAAAGCGGUACUCAUCUAGCAAACUGCUCUUUUAUGUCCAACUUUUCAAAUAAUAUUAGAUGUACCACAUUUUUUUAACUGCUUACAUUGUCUGCUAGCUCACAUUCGUGAACUCAUUUGACCAACCACUACCAUCCUCCAUCCUUGUCUUGGGACCUGGUACGGCAUCAUUUAAGCUCACUAAGCCAAAUUUUACUUUGGUAAACAAAGGAGCAGACAGACCCAGUGCAAAAUCCAGUUCAGCUUUUAUAUUUGGUUGUACUGAGGCCAUUCAAACAAAAGUAUCGUGAUAUCACAUGACCAAUUUUCUCCAUUUUCACAAAUUCCCUGACGUCAUUACCUAUUGAUGGCUGCAAAAUAAAUACUACAUAACGUGGCGCCUUUUAAACUUAAGACAUGCACUUUAUAGUUUGUAUACUUUCUAUUACAGUAAUUUUUGCUAACAGCUAUCACCAUCUCUUAGUCAGGGCUGGUACUUCUGGGACCACACUUGUAGCUAUAAAAACUAAAAUUAUUUGUAUUCUUGAAAGUUUUUCUAACUUAUAUCUUUAAAGAGUAGAUAAUUUUUAUUCGAUAUAUAUUAAUUUUUGAAAAUUGAAAUGAUUGUAGAUAAUUUGUUAAAAAAUGUCUCCAUUCCAAAUAAGUCUUCAGUCUUAUUAGUUUUAGAAUCCAAUUCAAGUAUCGGAUAUUAGAUUUUAAACUCAAGUCUUACAAAUUGGGACUUGAGUCCUGUCUCUCUCUCUCCGCUGAUGAAAACUCAUGAAAAAAUAUAUUUUUCCAAUAAUACAAAACAGAUAUAUUUUCCCAAUCUACAAACCUAUUAAUCUAGGGAACUUCCUAUACGAUGAAAGCAAUUGAGUUUCCUCUCCAAAGAAAAAUAACUCCUUUUAGUAUACAUGUACAUGUUUGUACAUACAUGUAAAGAAAAUAGAAAUUCAAUGCAUUUCUUCUUAUCAGAUCCAAAUAAAUUAUAUAUUGGGGGAAGGAAGAGUUUGUUUAAUUCUAAGAGUACAAUAUAAAUAGGUCCAGCAUGUUGUAAAUCACUUGUAUACAGUCGAAUAAAACUACUAACUAUAUUAUCAAUGGUACAAAGUACAUAUAUUAGGUGGCACACAAUAAAUAUAUAACACAUGUUAAAGUAUGAAAAAAAAACUAUAUUAAAUUCCAUUAUAUUCAACCUGUUCUAUAUAAUACAUUUUUGACUUAACCU
rnacentral:lncRNA from 1 species